UACAGAGGGUGCGAGCGUUAAUCGGAAUUACUGGGCGUAAAGCGCACGUAGGCGGCUUGGUAUGUCGGGUGUGAAAUCCCCGGGCUCAACCUGGGAACUGCAUCCGAAACUGCCUUGCUCGAGUAUGGGAGAGGGAAGUGGAAUUUCCGGUGUAGCGGUGAAAUGCGUAGAUAUCGGAAGGAACAUCAGUGGCGAAGGCGGUUCUCUGGGCAUGAUCUGACGCUGAGGAGCGAAAGUGUGGGGAGCGAACAGG
rnacentral:rRNA from 1 species